rnacentral:rRNA from 1 species
AACGAACGCUGGCGGCAGGCCUAACACAUGCAAGUCGAGCGAGGACUUCGGUUCUAGCGGCGGACGGGUGAGUAACGCGUGGGAAUGUGCCCUUCUCUACGGAAUAGCCCUGGGAAACUGGGAGUAAUACCGUAUACGCCCUAUCGGGGAAAGAUUUAUCGGAGAAGGAUCAGCCCGCGUUGGAUUAGGUAGUUGGUGGGGUAAUGGCCUACCAAGCCGACGAUCCAUAGCUGGUUGGAGAGGAUGAUCAGCCACGCUGGGACUGAGACACGGACCAGACUCCUACGGGAGGCAGCAGUGGGGAAUCUUAGACAAUGGGGGCAACCCUGAUCUAGCCAUGCCGCGUGAGUGAUGAAGGCCUUAGGGUUGUAAAGCUCUUUCAGCUGGGAAGAUAAUGACGGUACCAGCAGAAGAAGCCCCGGCUAACUCCGUG